GAUGAACGCUGACAGAAUGCUUAACACAUGCAAGUCUACUUGAACUUCGGUUUGGGUGGCGGACGGGUGAGUAACGCGUAAAGAACUUGCCUCACAGUUAGGGACAACAUUUGGAAACGAAUGCUAAUACCUGAUAUUAUGAUUUUAGGGCAUCCUAGGAUUAUGAAAGCUAUAUGUGCUGUGAGAGAGCUUUGCGUCCCAUUAGCUAGUUGGAGAGGUAACGGCUCACCAAGGCGAUGAUGGGUAGCCGGCCUGAGAGGGUGAACGGCCACAAGGGGACUGAGACACGGCCCUUACUCCUACGUGAGGCAGCAGUGGGGAAUAUUGGACAAUGGACCAAAAGUCUGAUCCAGCAAUUCUGUGUGCACGAUGACGUUUUUCGGAAUGUAAAGUGCUUUCAGUUGGGAAGAAAAAAAUGACGGUACCAACAGAAGAAGUGACGGCUAACUACGUG
rnacentral:rRNA from 1 species